CUGCAGUUUCAGCGCCCACCAUAUUUCCGUGUGGGUGUCAUAGGCAGCCUCAGUUAAAUUUAUGGAAUAAUACAUAUGUUUAUGGCUUCAUUAGCGAAAAGCCGCUCAGUGCCUGAACAUCAACCAAUUCUCCUCGUCCUCCUCCUUAGCAGUUCAUUCGACACGCUGUCUGCAGCAGCGUCAAAAGGAUCGACAUCGACGUAGUCGUCAAGCGUCAUCGUCUUCAUCAUCAUCAUCACCAUCAUCAUCAUCAUCAUCAGCAUUGUGCUCGUUGUUGUCUAUGUAUCUGUCACUACAGAGUCUCGUGCAUCAUUCUGGAGGCCCCAAAGCACUCGAGACAUUGUAUGCGCACUUCAAAGAGAUUCAGUUCGGUUCGACUCGGCUCCAAAAACAUAUCGGGUCAGUCAUCUUUUAGAAGAAGGAGGUAAGUAGUCUAGUCCGAAAUGCUCUAGAGCAUUCAGUAUUGGAAUGUGACAUAGUAAUUCCAUUCGGUGACGUUUCCGAACAUAUGGGUUUCAUAUGGAUGGGUUUCCUUGAAUGCCCAAACUGUACACUGGGAUCAAUAAUGAAAGCGUAUCAUUGGGUACAAAGAUGCUAUUGCAAAAAACCUUUCCUGUACAAUCCUAUAGAGCAUUCCCCAUUCGGUCUCCGUUUUAGGGAGAAUCUCUUUAGGUUUUGUUCUUAGCUUCACAGAUUGAUUGAGCCUUUUAUUAAAGCGCACGUACAGCAUAUUAAAUAAAUUGUUAGUUACGUUCCGGAACGGAACGGAACGAAAGGGAUCGAAACCGUACAGAACGCGCUGUCCCAACCGUCCCAGACAUGCAAGUUGCAGGCCCUGUGGUGUCGUAUGGCUCAACGCCCCCGAAGGUGUUCUAUAGGAACAUCUCAAGAGCAUCAAGAGAAGGAAAGAGUCGGGAACUCCUUUUUAUUCGAUUUUCUUACAGCGUCAUUUUCUGAGCCAAACCCGUGCCUGUCUGUCGUGGCGCGUUAUGGUCCAGCCACGUAUCAAUUAUGUGCCAAAGUGCUAAUGGUUGUUAACGGCUCUGGCCAGCCAUUGUGGGUGUUGCCUCCACGAACAUUCCUAAUGGUCCAUAUUUUAAAAGGGCUGCCAUCCAGACUCGUAUCUCAUGUGGGGAAAUUGAACCCGCUCGUAGCUCAAUAAAUGAGUUUCUUUUUCUCUAGUUGCCUGCAGCAUGCGUCAUCAUGCUCAACGUUUUUCCUUUAGGAAAAGUGAAAACCAGUAUAAACGCUCCGCCACCCAGCCACUGCACAUCGCGUGCCAGACUCUCGGCCGAGCAAUUCAAUUAUGACACAAGUCCAUCGCAUGCCAAGCCGAAUAAAGAGCAGCAUAAAAUAUCCAAAAAUCAACAAAGCGAAGCGUGAUUGUGGCCAGCAUUGUUUCUGUUUCGAUUAUGGGCAUGCCGAAAAAGCCAAGUCCUUAUCCGAAACAUAUUUUACUGGUCAACCCAAGGACCAGGCACUUCAGCACAGUUAUAGAACCUCAGAUACUGACUGAUCAUAAACGAUUACGAUCACAGCGAUGCGCAACCAUCACAGUUACCAGAAUCAAAUCAGCAAACUCCUCUAGUUGGGGUCUUUGGGGUCGGGUCCGUUAUGCCCAUCUGCAUCCAAUUAGGCGAAGCGAUGCGAUGCAAGGCUAAGACUUUCUUUGGGCCAUUUCUAGUCCUCACAGCGGCUGCAGUUGGACCCUCGCUGAGCCCAAUUCCAAUGGCCUUUUUUGGGGCCAAUCGGCUAGUAACUUAUACGCUUGUCGUUCACAGUGCAUGAUUAAUGACCAACAAGGGCCGCAGACCAAAGGAGGAGGAUGCCAGAGCUGGGCUUAGACCCGGCCACAGUCCAGCUCCCACUACAGCACAUCUAGCCGGCAAUUGGCACAGUCUGGAUGGGAAGAAGAAGCUGCUCGAGAAUCGAGAAUAGAGAACAGAAGGAGGCAGCCGAUACUCGAGUCGAUCCAGCACUGAGCUACCUGAGUGGCCCGAGACUGGCUACAGCGAAAGAUUAGCUCCGAUCUAAGAGGUUCACUUCGGUAUUGUCUGAGGACAGUAGAUACCUUGAAGAAAGUGCGAAACAUUAUUCAAACAGUUUUCUGGCUUGAAUGAUUCAGUACACAACAUCCAAAAUCGAAGAUAUUUAUUAUUCUACUCGCAGAUUUAAAUCAACCUAAAACUCGGGUAUAAAUUUGUGGGAAACCAGACCAGGCCAGGCCAGGCCAGAGACUCAAUUACCAGAUUGUAGAGUACAAAAAACGAGUAAAUCGCUGCAAUAUAUGUAAGUUUCACACCUGAAUGUAAUCGAAUUUUUAUCAUUUUACCUCCGCAUUGUGUUGUUGCCAGGCGAGCAGGAGCCCAGAGCCGGGAGAGCUCAGCCGCGGCCAGCAAAUUGAAAUUUAUUGCCUCUGAGCCACUGGAAACGCUGUCUGCCCUGCCACCACACAGCCUGCCACAGGCCACCAGCCUGCCACCACUAACCGAACAUGCUUUGAGGCCAACACACCAAACGCCAGACCAUGGAAGGCCAGGGCAGGGCAAUACACAAAAAUGUUGCGGCGGCUUUUUUUUUUUGGCCAACUGGUAUCGUAUGUGGGUCGCAUUUAUUAGAUGCAGGCUCCCUCAAGUUGGCCAGGCUUAUUGUUAGAUACAAAAAGUGACGUUACCCCAUUAACAAAGUUACAGCCGGCGGAGGAUGAUCGAGCAGCAGGCAUUAGGCAACGGGGAAUUGGGAAUCGCGGAUAGGGAAUCGGGCAAGGAAAAUCGGGGAAUCAAGAAUCGAGGAUCGCGCGUCAACAAUCGAGCAUAGACUUGAUUGCCAGUCAGUCUCGAGCUCGGACCCAGUCACUGGCCGUCAAGAUGAUCAAAUACUCAAAAGACGAGUCCAAUUGCCGGAUUUAGAGUCAGAUCCGAAGGCAGAGCCAACGCCCGCACGACUUACACUUGGACUUGGACUUGGUCUGUGACUGGAUUUGGACUUGGCUUUGGUCUUUGUCUAGGAGCUUUUUUGACUUGCCACCGCCACCGCCACCGAAGAUUUAUGGCUUAGAUAAGCGCGAAAAGUUACAGAUGCUUAUGCAGCGGCAGCCACUGCAACGCGUCUCGGGUUCGCGUUCCCCAUUCUGGCCAUGGACGUGGCUGGAUCCAGAAGUUAGUGGAUCCAAUUAAUACAUUCCUUAAUUAUUCAGGAAAUUUUCUGAUGUCCCAACCAAGCUUAACCACCAAAUAAACAUUUCCAAAUAGACAUAAAAAUCAAGCUGAAGCUG
rnacentral:lncRNA from 1 species